UACAGAGGGGGCAAGCGUUGUUCGGAAUUACUGGGCGUAAAGGGCGCGUAGGUGGCCUUCUAAGUCGAACGUGAAAUCCCUGGGCUCAACCCAGGAACUGCGUCCGAGACUGGGAGGCUUGAAUCCGGGAGAGGGAUGCGGAAUUCCAGGUGUAGCGGUGAAAUGCGUAGAUAUCUGGAGGAACACCGGUGGCGAAGGCGGCAUCCUGGACCGGUAUUGACGCUGAGGCGCGAAAGCGUGGGGAGCAAACAGG
rnacentral:rRNA from 1 species